AACUUCAGCCAGGAGAACAACUGAGAUAAUCCAUCCACAAUACGAGUCGGUACCUGGACUCAUCAUCCAAACCCUGCCAUAGCCACGCUUCUGGAUUCCGGUCAGCUGCUGCUUGAUCCUUUUCAGGCAAAGGGCCAUUCACACCUGCCUGCCUCCCUGCACACCCGUAAAGGACUCAGUACUCGCCCGGACCUCGCCUCACCUCCAGCUUAUCCCCGCCUGCGACCACUGACCCUGGUCUGCCACAGCUUCCACCUGCCCCACUCCAGCCCUCAGCAGUUUAGUGAUCUGACAGUUCCAUGCUUAGCCUAAGCCCAGCACUCACAGACACCACGCUUUUGCACAAAGUUAAAUCUUGUUAUUGUCUUGACAAUCUCAGUUAGGAAUUCUGGCAAAUAAAAGUUUUUGUUUUUUGCAAAUCACUUCAAGCCUCCGGUCUUUUGGUUCUGCGCAUGAGUCCUUUCCACUUCACGGGCCUCUGAGCCAUGACAGGUUAGCACACAAGUCCAGUAAAACAGAAACCACCAUUCUGUCACUCUGACACAUAAAGUCCUCAGAAGCACAAUAGAGUUACCAGAUG